rnacentral:tmRNA from 3 species
GGGGAUGCACCGGUUUCGACAGGGUGACAGACCCUGAGACAGCGGGUAGUGGAUUCUCGUUGGCCACUUUAAUAAACGAGAGUGCAAUCUAAUUGCAAACAAAAACUAUUCUUACGCUGCUGCUUGAUUUCAGCGCGUCAUCGCUCCGUUAGAUCUGCCUGACGGAAACUGCGGUGUCAACUGCAGACCUCACUUCCUAGAGGUUAAGGAAGGCAACCUGAUUACCUAAGCUUUGCCGUAAUCUUGUAUUUAUGAAGCUACCUAGCCGGAAAUUUUGCUUCUUUAGAGAUGGCCGGGGAAUAUUUUUGAAGAAGCUGCACCCGGAGAAGUUUCAGGCAAUGGUGCUUUGGACAGGGGUUCGAUUCCCCUCAUCUCCACCA